UACGUAGGGUGCGAGCGUUGUCCGGAAUUAUUGGGCGUAAAGAGCUCGUAGGCGGUUUGUCACGUCUGCUGUGAAAUCCCGAGGCUCAACCUCGGGCCCUGCAGUGGGUACGGGCAGACUGGAGUGCGGUAGGGGAGAAUGGAAUUCCUGGUGUAGCGGUGGAAUGCGCAGAUAUCAGGAGGAACACCGAUGGCGAAGGCAGUUCUCUGGGCCGUAACUGACGCUGAGGAGCGAAAGCGUGGGGAGCGAACAGG
rnacentral:rRNA from 1 species